GUGCAUGUUUCAUUGUCUUCUUUUAUGUCAAGAGAAAAGAUAGUUCUGAUAUUUCUAAACAAACCCUGGGAGUGAAUUAGCAGCAUGGCUAAUUUAGCCUUUGCUGUCAGUCACCUUCAGACAAGU
rnacentral:snoRNA from 1 species